UACAGAGGUCUCAAGCGUUGUUCGGAUUCAUUGGGCGUAAAGGGUGCGUAGGCGGCGCGGUAAGUCGGGUGUGAAAUCUCGGGGCUUAACUCCGAAACUGCAUUCGAUACUGCCGUGCUUGAGGACUGGAGAGGAGACUGGAAUUUACGGUGUAGCGGUGAAAUGCGUAGAUAUCGUAAGGAAGACCAGUGGCGAAGGCGGGUCUCUGG
rnacentral:rRNA from 1 species